AGAGUUUGAUCAUGGCUCAGAUUGAACGCUGGCGGCAGGCCUAACACAUGCAAGUCGAGCGGCAGCACAAGGGAGUUUACUCCUGAGGUGGCGAGCGGCGGACGGGUGAGUAAUGCCUAGGGAUCUGCCCAGUCGAGGGGGAUAACAGUUGGAAACGACUGCUAAUACCGCAUACGCCCUACGGGGGAAAGAGGGGGACUUUCGGGCCUCUCGCGAUUGGAUGAACCUAGGUGGGAUUAGCUAGUUGGUGAGGUAAUGGCUCACCAAGGCGACGAUCCCUAGCUGCUCUGAGAGGAUGAUCAGCCACACUGGGACUGAGACACGGCCCAGACUCCUACGGGAGGCAGCAGUGGGGAAUAUUGCACAAUGGGGGAAACCCUGAUGCAGCCAUGCCGCGUGUGUGAAGAAGGCCUUCGGGUUGUAAAGCACUUUCAGUAGGGAGGAAAGGUUGUAAGUUAAUACCUUGCAGCUGUGACGUUACCUACAGAAGAAGGACCGGCUAACUCCGUGCCAGCAGCCGCGGUAAUACGGAGGGUCCAAGCGUUAAUCGGAAUUACUGGGCGUAAAGCGUGCGCAGGCGGUUUGUUAAGCGAGAUGUGAAAGCCCCGGG
rnacentral:rRNA from 1 species